rnacentral:rRNA from 1 species
CUUAAUACAACUUUCAACAACGGAUCUCUUGGCUCUCCCAUCGAUGAAGAACGCAGCGAAAUGCGAUAAGUAAUGUGAAUUGCAGAAUUCAGUGAAUCAUCGAAUCUUUGAACGCACCUUGCGCCCUUUGGUAUUCCGAAGGGCAUGCCUGUUUGAGUGUCAUUAAAUUAUCAACCUUGAAGGCUUUUGUGGUCUUCUAGGCUUGGAUGUGAGGGCUUGCUGGCUUCCUUCAGUGGAUUGGUCUGCUCCCUUUAAAUGCAUUAGUAGGAUCCUCUUGUGGAACUGUCGCUCGGUGUGAUAAUUAUCUACGCCGUAUUGACUUGCAAUGAGAGCCUGCUUAUAACUGUCUUCGGACAACUUCUUUAAUAUUUGACCUCAAAUCAGGUAGGACUACCCGCUGAACUUAAGCAUAUCAAUAAGCGGAGGAAAAGAAACUAACAAGGAUUCCCCUAGUAACUGCGAGUGAAGCGGGAAAAGCUCAAAUUUAAAAUCUGGCGGUUCUGCCGUCCGAGUUGUAAUUUAGAGAAGCGUCUUCCGUGC